rnacentral:lncRNA from 1 species
AAAAAAUUUAAUGAAGUAUUGUAACAUAGUAUAGUACACAUAACUAUAGUGUACAUAUAUAAUGUAUAUAUACACAUAGUAUAGUAGUAUAACUUAGAGUAUAAAUAGUAUAUGUAUGUUAUGUACAUAGUAUCAUAGUAUAACUCUGACUCUUGAGUGUUACUGGGAAAAUCUUCGUAUUUUGGCCACUACAUAUUUAGAAUGUAUUUUUAUAGAUUUCAACUUUUCACAUCAAAGAACUAUGUGCAAAGCCAGCUGAUGUAGGAGCCAGUGACCCCUUGGGUUAUGAAUCAUCAAAUGUCUUCAUGGAAAAAAAAAACAAAACCUGUCUUCAUGGCUUGACCAGCUGCACUGUCCUCAGAAAGAGCCAAGUGGGGCAACAGUGUAUUAAGGACUCUUGUGUGUGCAUUCCAUUCUUUGCAAUGCCAAGCCUUUGAAAAUGACAUUAUUUCAUGAAUGAAAUUAUUUAUUCAUAAAUAUUUUCAAAUGUAUUUCAAAUAUAUUUCAUAAAUAUUUUUGAAAAAUAUUUAUGAAAUAUUUCAAGAAUAUUUCAUAAAUGCUUUCAAAUAUAUUUCAAAAAUAUUAUUCACCAGCAUUCAUACAGUAUUAUAUCAUAAAUAAAAAUGUUAUUCAUUCAUUCAUAAAAUUUAUGAAUGAAAAUUUUAUUCAUAAAUGAAAUUAUUAUUCAAACUGAAAUUUUAUUUUUAUUUUUUAUUUAUUAUUUUUAUUUUUUUUACUUUCUUUUUAAAUACAAUAAAUCCUUAAGCCUGAAUUAUGUUUUGCCUGCCAGCUUGAAUUGGAAUUUCUUACGGUAUUACGGUCUAUACUUCAUGUGUGAGAAAAUGCCUCCAAAUCCUCCAACAACACACUUGUAGUUCAGUCCAUGGGAUAAACACUUCUGAGCUGUGACCAUAAAGGAAAGCUCUCAGUAAUUCUAAGUCCAGGGAUGAUGAAUGUCACAAAUGUGAUUCCUAAAAUUUGCACUUCAUUAACUCCAGUCCUCAUUUUCUCUGCCUCAUUUUCUCUUUCCAGACUCCCCGGCCAUCUCCCAGCAACAUCCCUAGAAACCGAGUCUCCCCAUG